GGAGAAGUAUCGAAGUGGUCAUAACGAGGCGCACUCGAAAUGCGUUUGCCCUACAAGGCACGGGGGUUCGAAUCCCUCCUUCUCCGCCA
rnacentral:tRNA from 1 species